GGAAUACUCCACACUUUCCUCCUCCUUCUCCAUGCCUCUCUCUCCUUUUGUUCCUGUGUCGGUGUUGUCAGUCCUGGCCAGGCUGUGCAGGUGACGAUAACACCGCAUAGCUAGCUGACAUUGUGGGGAGCCCUGAUUCCGUCCCUGGCGUGUGUGCCAAUGCUUAAUCUUCUCUGCUGAAAUUAAUGACCGUCUUUUAAGUGAUUCAAUUGAAUUGAAUAGGAUAGGCAAUAGAUAGACUUUUAAUUGAGUGGGUAUUUCUGAUGUUGUUGCUGUAUUUCUCUAUCCCUUGCUUAUAGCUCUGUUCUUUGUUAUUUUAAUGGUUCUUAUCAGCCACCUCUCUCCACUCCUGUCAUAGUUUCCUAAAUGAGUUCAGCAAGUGCUCCUGUCCACACUUGAGUAAUACAAAUAUCUAUAAUCAUCUCAUUCACAGUUUAAAUAAUCAAUUUGAUUAACUCCCAUUCAUUUCAUCUCAUCCAAACCCUGAAAAAAUAAAUACAUCGGAGAAAAAAAAAAAGUUCUUUGCUACAUUUCAUUGUCAUGAUCAGAAAUAGUCUUCCCAGGGGGAGGAAUGAGAUUGGCCCUCCAGCCCUUUAUAAAGCCAUGACACAUUUAUUCUUUCUUUUUUCAUCUGCACCUCUUUCCUGGUGGGAUAUGAUUGGUAUGCGGAGAUGAACGCAGAGCCAAAGUGAUUUGCUAGCAGGGGUUCAAUAAGGCCUCAUUUUCAGCGAGUGCUUUAGCUGGGAUUAGCUUCUUGUGUAUUUUUCAGAUUCAAAACAUCUGCUGUUUGCUCUUGCAAAUGAACAGAACAGAACCUCCCAUUCUGCCCCCCCCCCCCCAAUCAGCAGGCUGGUGCAUGGGCUCAGAUUGGGGCCAUCGGCUGGGGAGGGGUUAGGAAGGGAGGGGGAUCCUUGGGAAAGGGGGGGGGGCAAUGUUGGCAUUAAAUAUGCUAUAAAUUGAAUCCUGUUACAGUGGAUACAGACAUAACGGGAAGCGACUGAUCACCGUGAAGCUAAUGUUGUCUCUACCCCCCCCCCCCCCCCCAAAAAAAAACCCGAUGACGCAUCAUGCGGCAACCAGUAGCCGGCACAAAUAAUCUCCCUGUCCCCUAAUCUUCACACUCUACAAACCAAAAAUGACAUUGCUUUGGAUGACAAAAAAAAGGGCGGUGAUUGUUUUCCUAUUUCCUGCCCUCUGCCGCUCGCUGUUGCUUCUUCCUUGCCAUGGCACCUCAAGCCUCUCUGAGAUGGUAGCUGGUGAUUAUGACGACUGUUCUCUUAUCUAGGCCAGUGCAUGAGAGGGGGAGAACCAGCCUCCUUUGAAGUUACAGCAUAAGCCUCCACUGUAAAGCGUCUGGCAGGGGGCGGUAGGGUGGGAAGGAGGAGAGGAAGGAGUGUGUGUGUGUGUGUGUGUGUGUGUGUGUGUGUGUGUGUGUGUGUGUGUGUGUACGUGUGAUGUUAGCGAUCUCUGCUCACAUCUGCACCCCAAGUCAGAGCUCCGGGGAACCAGAGGAUAGGCUCUCAUCUUCUCCCUCACCCCCUGCCGCAGCGCCUCCUUCUCGGGGAGAGUAAAGGAGCGGGGAUGAGCGGGGUUAAGCCCGAAGAAACAGCUUCUGGGAGACAAAGAGCUGAUUGGCUAUUGGACUUUAUACGAGUGCGGAGCCGGAUCGGAGAUGGGGGGAGAGGGAAAUCAAUUUUUACCCUCCGGGGGGGAAAGGUGGACAAUUAACAGGAUUGAUGCAGCAGCAUUACCCAGCUGUGGCUGUCGCCCCCACCCACAGUAGUUAGAGAGGCGAGAGAGAGAGAGGGAGAGAGAGAGGGGGAGAUGGAGAGAGAGUUUAAAAGAGAGUGAGAAGAGAGAGAUGAAGAGAGUUGAAAAGAGACUGAGAAGAAGGAGAGAGAGUUGAAGAUGGAGAGAGGGAGAGAGAUUGACCCAGUUAGUGGUUAUGUAUAGUCCUAUAAGGAAGACCCUUAUUGCGUUGACGUUGAUAAUGAGCUCAGACCACCACAUCCUCGAUGCUCAUACCCCAUUGGUGAUGUUCCCGUAGAGUGUGCGGAUGCUCAGAUUCAUCUACACAGAGGAGAUCUGCUUGUGUGUGCCGAACUUGAGGGUAUAAACGUUUGAAUACUUUUGAUCAAAAUACUUUUGUCAAUCUCUGGCCUAAACAUCAACCUGCUUUUUCUGCCUUUGAGCACAACCAAUAGGAACCUUGAUUUAGCUUUGAGCGACUGUCACAAGCUAUUUGUCCCAGUGGGACAGGCCUUCUAUCCAGGUAACCAGGGAGAAAAUGACUGAACAGCCAUAUUUGUGAAGAGACUUGAUUCAUAUGGGAACAUUAAUGCUGUUAAAGAGGAUAACUGUCACCACAUUAGCGGUAUAUAUGUCACUGUGCAUGCCGUGCAGAGCAAAACAUGGGAAUCAGUUUUUCUCGGCUUCUCUCAAAUGCUUUUGGAGGCGUUUCUUCAGGAUGGAUGGCAGGUUUGUGGCAUGACUUCCUGAAACCAUGAAGUGAAUAGUCCCGCCCUCCCCUCCAGGCCCAGCACUGGGGUCAAAACACCAUUGGCUGACACACACACACAACAGCUUGACUGGCCUAUGUGACAAUGCAAUCUUCUGAGUGAGUUCUGAUUGGCUGUGGAGACAUGUCAGGAGGUGGAAGUGAUUGUGGUGGUGUACAAGGAAAGUGUGGGUGAAUGAAAUGGUGGAGGACAAGUAAACAUCUACAACUUCAUCAUGUUUACAGGAAAUCAAACACCUUUCCACCUAUGAGUACUGAACCACCAGAAAACAAGUGGUCUUCUUACAUAAGGUCUCACUAGUGAUCGCUGCUUCUUCUCUGCAUUCAAAAUAACCCCUGAAAAGUCAUGCAUAUCUAGAUGUUACAUCACCACCACGUAAAGACUUAAGCAGACACAGUUAGCUAAAGCCAUUGACAGUUGCUAGUUAACUUACCUCAGUUGUACCGUAAGGACUGUUCAUGCACACCAAAGUGUUUUACCAAUGUGUUGUAUUUCUCUGCAACACCUCAUGUAAUAAACAGGCCAACAGUUACAUGGACCCUAGGUGUUAAGACUUACAGUACCUCCCUGAUAAGUAUAUGAUAGAUUUAUUUUUCCCCAUCACCAUAUACAAAUAUCAACAAAAUCUGUACAAAUUCGGCAAUCACAGACCUGAGGAUGGGAUGUGUCCAGUACCUCCCCGGAUGGCAGCUAACUCGAGAACGGGUCUGGCCCAGAACUCGCUGAGACCCGGGCCAGAUCCGUUCCAGGGAUCGCUGGCAUCCAGGCUCUUUCAAGUAGGUGACAUAAACAGUGACACCACCAUUGCGAUUUUAUUACUGGCAUCUAAAUGUUGCACUAACUUUACAUCGUACCAUUCAUUUUUUAACAGUUUUCAAAAAAAUGGAAUUCAUAGCAAAUAAAAAAUAGUCACAUGCAAUGUUUCAAAAUGCGUCAUCAUUACAUUAUUUUCAAUUUCACAUAAAAAGAGGAAUUAAAAUCACUUCAUAUUUAAUCGUAAUUAAAGUUCUUUUUCUUUUCAUACACCUACACAUUCUUGCAACAGCGUUGGUCUCGUUUGGGUUGUAAACAUAUCCGCUUUAGCUCGCUCCUUUUAGUCGGAUGCAUAUCAUUCCUUCGAAGACUCGAUUGGCAAUCAAAGCGAAAGUGAAACUGUCUUUGGGCUCUUCGGGCGCUAAGUGGGAAAAACAUGGAUCGAUAGCUGCGAUAUGCAGAAGAAGGUAGAUAAAGAAUAAUACCCUGAGUAUUACUGCACUGUGGUUGUUUUUCACCUUUACGUCUCUCUUGUUAAAAUCUUUUUCUUUUUUUGUUCGCUAGGAUUACGUUUCAGAAAGGAACUAUUGUUCAGAGCAGUUCCUUCUGCUGAGUAGAAAAAAGGAUGAUUGGAGUGUUAUGGAGAAGCAGGUUGACUAGCAACCUGACUCCUUGCCAGGACAGCACCUAACUCUGGGUCGAAUCUAGCCCCCAAUCCGGGCCUAGUCCGGUCCAGAGUCAGCUGCGGUCCGAGCCACUUUUGAGAUAUGGAGACAGAGUUAAUGUGGUUCUGAUCGAGUAGUAUGUUAUCGAUGGAGAACAUCACAUGGCGUGAAGAGUGCAGUGGCAAUGACUCGACGGGGGUAAGGUAGUGGUGGAGAGUGAUUGACAGGAGAAAAGGAGAUUUUUUUUUUGAGGGGUAGAGGGAAGGGGGGUUGAAGGAGGUUAUGGACAGUCAGAGCUGACUCAGGCCACACGAUGGGAGUCCCAGCUAUAACAGCCGCAGGUUCCAUUGGGAAAAUGGAGACCCAACAGGUUUUAGCUUUUAGGUGGACACUGGACAGAAUACCCGCCCACCCGCGCUCUUUGCAGUGGUUCCAUAUGCACUCACACACACACUCACUCACUCACACACACACUUACUCAGACACACACACACACACACAUACACCCAGGCACACGUGCACACACAGACACACACACACACACACACACACACACACACACACACACACACACACCCAUGCACUCACACAGAAUGGCCCCCUUCCCAAGAGCACAUGGUUUCAGGCACAAACUUGCAAUGUGUUACUUGGAUGAGACUGAGUGCAGUGAGGAGGUGAGGAAAAAGACAACAGAAGACAGGUGAUGCUAAAAUGAACAUUUAUAAUGACUGUUGUUGCGGUCGGAAAAUAAUAAUCCUUAAAAAAAACUAUUUCAUAUAUAUUAGCACUAAAUUGCCGACUUCACUGGUAAUCCACAAGUCAAGAAACACAACUCACUAAUUUUUUUCUUUUUUUUUUUACAAACACAACGCUACAAUAACAUUAAAUAUUCAAUACUCUUUAAGUCAGUUAAUGAAGGGUGUUAAAAAAACCACUAAAAUACUAAAAAAAAAAAAAACAAUAAUUCAUCUUUCCAGUCAUUCCCUUUCCUAGUUGUUGUUGUCAUUUAUUAAUAGUGUAUAGUAGUAGGUUGUAAAUAAAUAGCUUGAGGUGUUUGCUGGAGAGAGGGCCGGCAGCAUAAAAAGCUGCAUGUGGAGCUAUGAGCACUGUGGCAAUGUGGACGCGUUUCUACCAGCUAUCGUCUCACCGAAGCGUUUCACUCUAUGGCAGAAUCAGUGAAUGGAUUCUAGAAGCCCCAAACAAUUCCAUAUUCCAAAUCCAGUUCCGUUAUGGUUUAACAACAUGCCAGCCCAGAUAGCCGAUGAUUCUAGAACAGCGCCGGAUGUGGGCCAUGUCUGGGCCGGAUCCGAACUAGUCAGCCGAUGCUAUCUGGAAGCUUUGACUGGCUAUCUACUACCCCUUUAUCUGGAUAGCAGAGGCUUUAUUGCGCAAGGAGUGUGCGUCCGUCACUUCCUCCAAAGGUUGUUUAGAGGGCUCUGGAUGACUGCGGUCAGACUAGCGCUUCCUCUACUACGUGAUGGCGGCGGUCUUGUUCUACCAUGCAUCGUCAGGCACAGAAGCGACAGACCCAGCUCUGAGGCUCGAGGAAAGGUUAGCAGUCACAAUGGAUUGGAGUGGAUGGAGACUGCUGCUGCUGGUGUGUGUGUGUGUGUGUGUGUGUGUGUGUUUUCGUUCUCUUCUUUUUGGCGUUGCACAUGCCCGUGACAGCAAAAGCAGUUCAUCCCCCCCCCCCCCCCACCAUCCCUCCCCCCAAAUCAGCCACAUGGUGUUUUGUGAUGUGAUGCCUGUGGAUGCUGGGUGGGGAAGUGACGUGGUAAUGUCUGAUAUGAUCCCAGUGCAGUCGUCCGCCUCAUUCAGGCAAUGAGCAGGUGGAAUCAGGUGAGAAAGCUCUGUCUGUCUGUCUGUCUGGCUGCUGGCUGCUGGCUCUCUUUGCUAGUUCCACAAAGCACAUUUUUAUGCUACCGGCCCCAUUCUGUUAGUCACACUUUUCUCCUUACAGUUCAACAAAACCUGACAAAAAUAUUUACAAUGAGAGAAAAAUGAAGUUAUGGAGAAACAGUUUAUGCAAUCUGUCUGUGCACUUUAGUAUUUUUUUUCCUUAAACUUUUUUUUAAUUUUUUUUUUUAAUUCUUUAUCUUUGAUAAUGACCCAAUGAUGAGGAACAACAAAAACAAAAAAAAGAAAGCAAGAAAGAAAGAAAGAAAUCCAAUCUUAUCAACUAGAAUUGCACAGUCUCACAGAGGUUUGGUGAUGGAAUGGAGAUUUUUGAGUCCAAACAGCUGAAUGAACAUAGAAGGGGAGGAAGAAGGCCAUUAUAAAGUUCAUGGAGGGGUGAGAGUUCAGAGUUCAGAAGACAGGAGAUGACUGCACGGCGGACGGUUACACUCCUCACACCUUUUUUUUUUUUUUUUUUUUUUUUAUUUUGAGUGUGUGUUUAAUGGCAAAGAAACAAGAAAAUAAAUAGUCAUUGGAUAGAUGGAUUUUGUUUUGAGUGUGUAUCUUUCCCAUCAAAAUCAAAUGAAGAGACUUAGAGGUGGGGGGGUGGUGAGGGGGGGCAGGGGGGGUGUUGAGUGACAGGUGCCCCCAGCAGUAUGGCACACAAUCAAUGAUGUCCUGGAGGCUGAAGAGAUGGCAGAGGAUUAGGAAAAAAGCAGUUUAUGAGAGGUAGCCAGCCUUUGCUUGUUUGUUUGUUUGCUUGUUUGCUCUUUUUUCACUAUUACAACCGUGGCUACGGUUAAUCCAGUGGGGAGGGGGGGGGGGGUGGAUUUCUUUUGUUUGUUUUUUUUUUUUUUGGGGGGGGGGGGGAUGCAGAGGCGUCAUGACUGACAUCAUGUUAUGGAGGGACAUGCUGGCUUCAUGAGGCGGUCCAAUGCGGAUGUCCAACAUACAAGAAAACUCAAAAAACUUUUGGAAUGGUUCUGUUUGUUUCGUUUGGCACUCAGGAGAGGGUGUGGGGAAGAGAGAGGCAGGGCAGAAGUGUUUGGGGAAGGGGGUGGGAGUGGGGGGUGGGGACAGGGUAGUGGUUGGAAAAGAGGGGUAGAAGGGGCAGUGAAAAGUGCAAAAAGGGGAGCAAAGUGUGCGGAGGGGAGGAGGAGUAAACAGGAUAUAUAUGAAUGGCAUUUUGUUAUAGUUGGUCUAGGUUAGAGAGAGAGAGAGCGUCAUACAAAGCAAAAAACAGGAGAACAAGAACAGGAACAACAACAACAACAACAACAGUAACAAAACAAAGAAUAAGAGAGCGAGAGAACUGAACAGUGAUAUGACGUAUGCAGUCUAACAUUGCUGGUGCUUCGAUGGGUGCAAGCUGAAGAGUGACCCUUGACCCCCUUCAGACAGAGGAGGAGAGGGUUGGAGAAGAGCAGGGGUGUGUGGCGUGGCGUGGCGUGGGGUGGUGUGGUGGUGGUGGUGGUGGUGGGGAGGGG
ensembl:lncRNA